AGAGACAGCAGUCGCCGCGGUAAUACGGAGGGUGCAAGCGUUAAUCGGAAUUACUGGGCGUAAAGCGCACGCAGGCGGUCUGUCAAGUCAGAUGUGAAAUCCCCGGGCUUAACCUGGGAACUGCAUUUGAAACUGGCAGGCUAGAGUCUUGUAGAGGGGGGUAGAAUUCCAGGUGUAGCGGUGAAAUGCGUAGAGAUCUGGAGGAAUACCGGUGGCGAAGGCGGCCCCCUGGACAAAGACUGACGCUCAGGUGCGAAAGCGUGGGGAGCAAACAGGAUUAGAUACCCGGGUAGUCCCUGUCUCUUAUAC
rnacentral:rRNA from 1 species